UAUAGAUACUUAACUGUAAAAAAGGUGCAUAUAGAUAUAGCGCCAAACUAACCAAUAUAACAAAUAUGUUGAAAUGAGAUAGUUAAAUGCAAAUUUUAAAAGUCUUUAACAAAAGCAGCAACAUCAAGCAAAAUAAAAGUCAGUGCUCUUAUUGUUGGCACUUAAACAUCCAUACAAGCAAUCAAAGUGCAGGUACUAAACACAGGUUUCUUUUUCCAAAUGGACCAUAAAGAGAGAACAACUGCUUGGGUAAAAAAAAGCACAAGAAUUCAAUAUGAUAUUUCCAAGUCAUUGACAAAGCUUCGCAAGUUGUUAAGAUUUUCAUCGAUAAAUUUACGCAAGUUGUUAAAGUUUUCAUCGAUAAAGUUACGCAAGUUAGAACAUUAUCAAUAAAAAGUAAAAGCAUAUUGCAAAGAAAUAGUUUUUUUUAGAAGUUUUAUGAAA